rnacentral:rRNA from 1 species
UACAGAGGGGGCAAGCGUUGUUCGGAUUCAUUGGGCGUAAAGGGUGCGUAGGCGGCGCGGUAAGUCGGAUGUGAAAUCUCGGAGCUUAACUUCGAAACUGCAUUCGAUACUGCCGUGCUUGAGGACUGGAGAGGAGACUGGAAUUUACGGUGUAGCGGUGAAAUGCGUAGAUAUCGUAAGGAAGACCAGUGGCGAAGGCGGGUCUCUGGACAGUUCCUGACGCUGAGGCACGAAGGUCAGGGGAGCAAACGGG